rnacentral:rRNA from 6 species
UGACCUCGGAUCAGGUAGGAAUACCCGCUGAACUUAAGCAUAUCAAUAAGCCGGAGGAA